rnacentral:rRNA from 1 species
UACAGAGGGUGCAAGCGUUGUUCGGAAUUACUGGGCGUAAAGCGCGUGUAGGCGGCUUGGCAAGUCUCGUGUGAAAGCCCUGGGCUCAACCCGGGAACUGCGUCCGAUACUGGCGGGCUUGAAUCCGGGAGAGGGAUGCGGAAUUCCAGGUGUAGCGGUGAAAUGCGUAGAUAUCUGGAGGAACACCGGUGGCGAAGGCGGCAUCCUGGACCGGCAUUGACGCUGAGGCGCGAAAGCCAGGGGAGCAAACGGG